GCCUGAAUGAAUUCUGAUGUAAGCACGAGUAAGACGUGUGGCAGAAGAGUUUAUAAAGAGGGGGGAAUGCCUGAUGAAAGUCAGUUGGAGGGACAGUAACAGUCGGAGACAGGAAAAUGUGUGUUAAGUUUUGAAGGGAGUUGUACUUUGUAUCAAUUGUUCAACAUCUUGUGUUUCUAAAUAUAGCAGCACUGAGAUUUAAAGCUGUAUAGAUCUAUGUUGUCAAUAAAAGUUUAUUUUGUUGUCUAAAAAUAGUGUAACUUCUAUUCAAGUGCUGGCCACCAAAAUGUCACCAAGUCAUGAAGAUAAUAGUGACAACAAAUAUAAGGACAGAAUGAAGAUUCAGAAGGCCGAUUCACGGACAUAUAACUUGUUUAUUGAAAAUACAUUAAUUCAGAUAUAUACUUUGAUUGAUUGUGACGCCAUGGUCGAGUCUCUGUAAAACUUCUAGAGUCAGUUGAGGGCCCAGCG
rnacentral:sRNA from 1 species